GAAAUUCUGGUAGAAUGUAUUUUGGUGAGGAAAGGCCGGAUGGUGGCUAGCUGCUUUCGAAAGAAAGGAGUGAUGCCUAUGAGCCUUUGUAGUCGUUGCUCUGAAAGGAGCAAGCAUGAGCGUAUACCAAGCGCUGUCACUGAUGAUCGCCUUUGGCGCAUUGAUCGUGGCAAUCAUGAAAGACAA
rnacentral:sRNA from 1 species